AUCCCGCGCUCGGGCUGCUCUCCGGGCUGCCGGCACUGAUUCGGACGAGGAGGAUUUCGGAGAGGCAUUGGACCUCCGUGGCUGUGCAGGGUAUGGCGAGGCUGGGAGCCCCGCUGCUGCCUUGGUGGUGUCGGCUCUGCUCUUCCCGGGAGUGAUCCCUGCUGAUCCCGGGCCCCAGGCUGUGUUCUUCAAUGUCUGCAGUGAAGGGGGCUCAGCAGACCCACCCGCAGUCUUGCCUGGACAGGCCCAGUCCCAUCCCUGAGCUCUUCAGUGACCUGGCAGCGUGAUGGACCAGGCUUUCAACACCUUCCCCAGGAGGUGCUUAAUGGAUGAAACAAGGGAACAAGGUUGAACAAGGCUUUCAGAGGGAGAAAAAGAAAAAAGAAAAAGAGCUGUAUUGUGCUCUUCCAGCUCUCUUUCCCUAACCAAAUCUGCCACUGCCACAUUUUUCCCCAGUGCCUCCUGUCAUCUUCCUUUAUGCAAUCUUAUGAGCUUAAAGCUUAUAAGUCAGAGGAAUUUUCUCCAUUAACUAUUUUCCCCAUCUCAUCUUUCAUUAGGCCUUGCCCUCCUUAUUCCUCCCCUGCAUCAUCCCUUCUUGGCCUAAACAGAACAGAUCUGCCCCUACAUUCUCACCCAUAGGAGGCAGCUCCAUGGGCUGGGGGGUUUUGAAGGGGACUGCAGUACUAUGAAGCUUUUCUCCCCACCUCUUGUUGCCUCAUCCAUCCUCCCUCCUUCCACCUACCAGUGCUGACGUGGGAAUGAAGUUUCUGGCACUGCUGCUGAACUGUAAAUUGACUUCAGUCUCUUUCCAGACUGACAGUUUUAUGGUUCCCCAGCUUCUCAUUUUCCACCUUUAAGAGGGAGAAGCACUCUGUUUACCCUCCUGGUAUGCGGCACAAGCUAUUUCACACGAAGGAGCAGCAAAAUGAUAUUGCAUUAUGACAACGCCUCUGAGUCAUCGUGAGGACUAACCAGGAACCAUGGCGGUGAGGGGACAGUUGGAAUGUAGCAGGUAGCACUUCCUCACCUUUGCAGAGGGUUGUGCGCAGCUGAGCAGUGCCACAAAGUGAUGGUGGGGUCAGGAUGGCUGCAGAAAGAAAAGAGAAUGGCAAGGCCAAGCACUGCAGAUACUGGGUUAUCAGUGCUGUCCAACAGUGUGGGUGUUUGGCUUCGGGUAUUUUGGUGUUUUGGAAGUGCAGUGUUGACUUGGUGCGUGGCUCUCCAUCUCCCAGUGUGGAAAAGCUGAACUUUCCUUUUCCAGCCAUGCACUGAUGGUGGUCUGAAAGAACUAAAAGGCCAAUAUAUGACAUCUAGCUUUGAUCAUAUGCAUGUUAAUCCCUGGCGUUCAAGAAAAGAAAAGAAAAAAGAAAAGAAGAAAAAAACACAGUGCUGUUGUUUAAUAAAAAAUGAAUUAACUUGCCACACAUCUUAUAUGAAAGAUUAUUUUCUUCCCCCCCCCCCCCUUUUUUUUUUUUCCUUUUGACAUUACUUUGUUGAUCUGUUUGGGGGGAUUAGGUACUGGGACAUUAAAUUUGUACAGACUUUCUUAAUAAGCUAUGUUAGGCACAAAUAUCCCUUAAGAAAACUAUUCUGUUCUUGCUGUUGAUAACUAUAUCCUUUUUUAUUAUUCAGAACACGAGAACACAAGACAAGAGAACAGAGAAUCCAGAAGAUACCUAGCUUGUAAAUAACUUCAUAAUUUUCCCUUUUUCUGUCUUUGUGUUUACAGAACAAAAUGUUUAAAUCCAAGUGUACUUUUGCUAGACUGUAUCAGUGUUUAUAGAGUCUGUUUUUCACAGCUUAGAAAACGAAAGUUCAGGGAAAUUCCAUCAUUCUGGUGGUAAUGAAUUUCAGAUCUAACACCCCUGAUGUGUAACAGCACAUGAAAUAUUUGUUCAUUUAAUGUUGAGCGGGCGUUGUGACGGUAUUGUGGUUGUUUCUGAGUUCAUUCACUUGAGAAGAAUGUUUCUCUCUUUACAGUGCAGAACUGUGGCUCAGCCUGAGCCCCUUGCUAUGAAAUUUAGGUCCUGUGCAUGGGCAUACAAGCCAGUACAGUACAGAAAACAAAGCGAUGAUUGAAUUCCCUUGCCUUCACGAAUAUUUCAGUGUUUUCAGGAUCAACAACUUAAUUUAUCCUUUUAGAGUAAAAAGUAAUGUUUAUUGUUAACUACAGUACACACAGUUAACUACAGUACAUGGCAACGUGAUGGAUUACAGCCUGCAAAAUGAAGAAAAGCAUUGAAAAUACAGCAACUUCUAAUUAUCAGUUUUAUCUGUACUGUGACAACAACUAUGGAAGAAAUCUUUGAUCUCAUAAUAGAGCCAGGGUUCCCUUUUUCUUACUUACUGCAAUAAACAGGAAGGGGAUAUUACCUGCUUUCACGCUAAUUCCCUAGAUAGCACUAUUGCUUGCUGUGCCAUGCAGGGUUACAGAACAAUUUUGCACGACAGACGCUACUUUUUUUGGCAUAGCUUCUGGAGAAGUAGCGCAUGGUUUGUGUCGGUCAUGUUCUUAUUGUCACUUAAUAAAGACUUGUAAAUCUGUCCUCCCACA